UUAUCGGAGAGUUUGAUCCUGGCUCAGAACGAACGCUGGCGGCAGGCUUCAUACAUGCAAGUCGAACGGUUAAAGCUCUCUUCGGAGAGUGUAUAAAGUGGCGAACGGGUGAGUAACAGGUGGAUAAUCUACCUUUCGGUGGGGGACAACGGUUGGAAACGGCCGCUAAUACCGCAUACGGUCGCGAGUUUCUUGGAAUUUGCGAAGAAAGGGGCUUUUGCUCCGCCGAAAGAUGAGUCCGCCUCCCAUUAGCUAGUUGGCGAGAUAAAAGCUCACCAAGGCAACGAUGGGUAGCCGAGCUGAGAGGUUGACCGGCCACACUGGAACUGAGACACGGUCCAGACACCUACGGGUGGCAGCAGUAAGGAAUAUUGCGCAAUGGGCGAAAGCUUGACGCAGCCAUGCCGCGUGGAUGACGAAGGCCUUCGGGUCGUAAAGUCCUUUUAUCAGGGAAGAACAAGCGCGAGAAGAAAAAGCUCGCGCCCUGACGGUACCUGAUGAAUAAGCAACGGCUAACUCCGUGCCAGCAGCCGCGGUAAUACGGAGGUUGCGAGCGUUGUUCGGAUUUACUGGGCGUAAAGGGAGCGCAGGCGGCUAGAUAAGUCUAAAGUGA
rnacentral:rRNA from 1 species